AUGAUUAGAGGCCCGGUGACUUGCAAGAAAUGUGGUGAAAAAGGCCAUAGGCAAGCUAGUUACAAGUGUCCACUAAAUGGAACAAAAAAAAGGCAAGUGAAGAGGAAGCCUAGAAAGAAUGUUACGAAAGCUAGGCCAGCUAAACCUAGCACCCCACAAAGGCCAACUAGAGAACAAAUACUACAAGACAGCCCAGGCAUGGUCACUAGAAGCCGCCUUGCUUUCUUGCUGGGAGAGGGUACUUCACAAACCACAACUACUCCAGAGAACAUGCCCACUGGAGCUCCAGCAAAGAAGCUAACUCCAGAGAGGAUGCCCACUGCAGCUCCAGCAAAGAAGCUUACUCCAAAAAGGAGGAUGCCUACUGCAGCUCCAGCAAAGAAGCUGACUUCAAAAAGGAAGCUACAAAUUGAAUGA
rnacentral:rRNA from 1 species